UCCUGAGAGAGGGCGAGUCCAAGUCAUCGUGAGUUCAACCCUGGUGCAGUUUGUUGCAGCUUCCGUGCGCUUCCAUGAACCUCGCCUGGAAAUAUACAGCGGCGGAACAAUGAAACCACAACAAAAAAUCAUCGGACAUGUUGCAAAUAUUGAUCGGAUUGGGCAGCCUCUCAGUGGGAAGUCGUGAAGCAGAAUCAACGUUUCUGGCCGGUGACAUCUUCUGUUUUUGUUUCAGGUUAACAGCAACUGCGGAUGCUGCCUGACCCACUGGGUUACCCCAACACUCUGUGUCUUGUGCAAGAGGAAGCUAAUGUUGGUUUGUUUAUGAAGCUGAUAAAAUGAAGCGGGGUCCAUGUGUGGAAAUUUAAACAAGCCUCUUGGAUUGACACUAAAUCUAGAUCACAUCAGAACAUAGCUCGUCCGAGUGUGAACUUUGCUGUUACAGGCUGAUGGCUUGAUAUGAACCUGGAAUGAUUGCACAUCAUUGUAGAUACCCCAGAGCGCUGUACAACCAAUGUAAGUGACGUGCAGAAGCUGAUGGGAUGGACCAGCAGCCAGUAUAUAAACAAUACAAUAACGACUAGAUAGCGUUUCUCUCAGCGCUGUUGACUGAGGGAUGAAUAUUGACCAGGACUCUGGGAACAUCCCAGUUCCGAUGAAUAUUAGCUCUUUUUAUCCACUGAUGCGGUCCAGUGCCUAUCUAAUAUCCUUUGAAAUUAUUGAUCACCAGCACCCAUGUGCAUUGUUUGUCAUCACCAAUUGCUGUGUAAAAAGUUUUUCCGCUGUGCAGAGGAUGUUAAUGGUAAAAUACUAUUGUGUUUUGUUCUUUUUUUUAUUCGUAUGGCUGUAUGGUGACCCCAAAUUUCACUGUACCAACUGGUGCAUGUGACAAUAAUAAUAAUACAUCUUUAUUGUCAUUGCACAGAGGUAUAACAAGAUUUGGAAUGCAACUUCCAUCCGAUGUAAUAACUUAAUUAGCUAAAAAUUUAAACACCCCGAGAAAGAAGAUUUAAAAAAACCCGGUUAAAGCAGUAUAAAGUGCAAAUAGGUCUGUGCCGGGUCGAUGUGCGACGUGACCAUCCGAGGGAGACAGUUCAUGGCGGAGCACUCAGCAGGACCAGUUCAGAGCUGCUAUAGCUCUGGGGAUGAAGCUGUUCCUAAGUCUGGAGGUGCGGGUGUAGAACGCCGGAUGGUAGAUGUUCGAACAGACUAUUGCAAGGGUGUGGGGAGUCUUUCUGAAUGCUCAUGGCCUUCCUGAGGCACUGUGUAUUGUAGAUGCCCUCCAAGUCUGGUAGCUGUAUCCAAAUUAUCUUCUGCGCUCUGUGGACGACCCGCUGAAUUGAAUUGAAUUGAAUAACCUUUAAUAAUCCUUUACAGGAAAUUACAGUGCCACAACAGCUUCAAGACAGACAUAACACCACACAUUUCCACAGAUAGCUUCAAUACUUAAUAAGUUAAAAUACAAUGAAUGAAUACUAAAAAAAAUCCAAAAUUAUUUUUGUGCAUUAUAAAACCUUAUAGCAGCAGGUAUACAAGACUUCCUAUAUCUCUCCGUUUUGCACAUUGGUGCAAUCAGUCUCUGACUGAAGAUGCUGCACUUGAUCACCUUCAGGGCGUGGAGUGGGUGAGUGGGGUUGGUCAUUAUUGAACCUAGUUUGUUCAGAGUUCUGGCCUCUGCCACCUGCUGGACCGUUAGCUCUCCUCUCCGCCUCCGUGCAGCUGAGAUACCACACAGAGUCUCUUGAAAUGUCUCUUGAAUCUUGAAUCUUGCCUGAGGCCUGAGAAGCAAGCGAUGGCAAUCUCGGCAAAAGGAACCGGGUGUGGGUGGUGAGAGAUGGGAUGUUUGCAGUGGUUGCAGGUCGAGGUGAUAUGGAAUAGGCUGCCAGAGGCCCUAGAGCAGCCGGGGCAUCACGUAGAUCAAACACCGCUGGAGUUCCCACAGAGGUUUGAUAAGCACGCAGCAUAGGCACAACCCGCAACGGCUUCACGGAGCGACGGGAGAAGGCACCAAUAUCAUUGCUGACCCCAACAUAAUUAGUCCAGCACUACCGACAGGACAACGACCACUUUAAGGCCAAGAUGAGACUCUAAUUUUAAGAACUAGAAACGUGGCAACUCUUUGUGUACUGCCUUGGAAAAAAACUAUUUUUUUACACAUUACAAUCAUAGCACUCUUUUACUUAUGGAAGAUUGGGCUUAUGUACAGUGUGAUUUUAAUGGAUUAUAUGCAAAACAAAGCAUUUCACUGUAUUUAGGUAGACGUGACAAUAAAGUAAUGAUUGAGCUAUUAACUUCAUGUCCUGAUGUUCUCCACUGAACCAUUCCUUCUGUUUUAACCUGGAUCUGACAAAAUA